UACGUAGGGUGCAAGCGUUGUCCGGAAUUAUUGGGCGUAAAGAGCUCGUAGGCGGCCUGUCGCGUCGACUGUGAAAACCCAGGGCUCAACCCUGGGCCUGCAGUCGAUACGGGCAGGCUAGAGUGCAGUAGGGGAGACUGGAAUUCCUGGUGUAGCGGUGAAAUGCGCAGAUAUCAGGAGGAACACCAAUAGCGAAGGCAGCUCGCUGGGACGUUACUGACACUGAGGCGCGAAAGCGUGGGGAGCGAACAGG
rnacentral:rRNA from 1 species